rnacentral:rRNA from 1 species
GUGAACGCUGGCGGCUGCGUGCUUAACACAUGCAAGUCGAACGCGGAAAGCGGGAGCAAUCUCCUGCAGAGUAGAGUGGCGAACGGGUGUAGGUAAAAUGUGGGUAAUCUUGCCUUCGAGAGGGGGAUAACCCGGCGAAAGCUGGGCUAAUACCGCGGCCCGUUAACGUUUAGAUGUCUUCGGACGACCUAGAACCAAAACAUGGGGUAAUCGCAAGAUCCUAUGGCUUGAAGAUGAGGCUCACAACCUAUCACGCUUGUUGGUGGGGUAAAGGCCUACCAAGGCGACGACGGGUAGCCGGCCUGAGAGGGUGUCGCGGCCACACUGGAACUGAGACACGGUCCAGACUCCUACGGGAGGCAGCAGUGGGGAAUUUUUCGCAAUGCGGGGGAGACAACCCUGACGAAGGCAACGCCGCGUGGAGAUGAAGGCCCUAGCGGUUGUAAACUCCUGUCUAGCGGGACGAAUGUCUUGAGGGUGAAUAACUCUCGAGAUUGACUGUACCGCUGGAGGAAGCUCCGGCUAACUCCGUGCCAGCAGCCGCGGUAAGGUAAUACGGAGGGAGCACGCGUUACUCGGAAUUAUUGGGCGUAAGGGCGCGUAGGCGAUCGAACAAGUCUUUUGCUGAAAGCCCAGGGCUUAACCCUGGAAGUGCAGGAGAUUACUGUCUGAUUUGAGUUCCGGAGCGGAAGAUGGAAUUCCCGGUUGUUAGCGGUGAAAUGCGUAGAUAUCGGGAGGAACACCAGUGGCGAAGGCGAUCUUCUGGACGGAUACUGACGCUGAGGCGGCGAAAGCUAGGGGAGCAAACGGGAUUAGAUACCCCGGUAGUCCUAGCUGUAAACGAUGUGCACUUGGUGUGAGCCGGUUUCUCGGUUCGUGCCGUAGUUAACGCGAUAAGUGCACCGCCUGGGGAGUACGGUCGCAAGAGCUGAAACUCAAAGGAAUUGACGGGGGCCCAGCACAAGCGGUGGAGCAUGUGGUUCAAUUCGAUGCAACGCGAAGAAACCUUACCGGGGUUUGAACUGUACUUGUAAAUCUCAGAGAUGAGACCCUCUAGCAAUAGAACAAGUGCAGAGGUGCUGCAUGGCUGUCGUCAGCUCGUGUCGUGAGAUGUUGGGUUAAGUCCCCGCCAACGAGCGCAAACCCUUGCUUUAGUUGCUCAUACCGUAAGGAUAGCACUCUAAAGAGGACUGCUGGUGAUAAACCGGAGGAAGGUGGGGAUGACGUCAAGUCAUCAUGGCCUUUAUGCCCCGGGCUACACACGUGCUACAAUGGCUGGUACAAAGGGUCGCAAAACCGCCAAGGUGGAGCCAAUCCCAUCAAAAUCAGCCUCAGUUCGGAUUGCACUCUUGCAACUCGAGUGCAUGAAGUUGGAAUCGCUAGUAAUCGCGGAUCAGCAUGCCGCGGUGAAUACGUUUCCGGGCCCUCGUACACACCGCUCGUAACACCACGAAAGUGGAUUGUACCCGAAGUCGUCGAGCUAACCCUUUGGGAAGCAGGCGCCCAAGGUAUGAUUCAUGAUUGGGGUG